UAGCAAAUACACGCUCAAGCCACUUGGG
rnacentral:sRNA from 1 species